rnacentral:rRNA from 1 species
UACGAAGGGGGCUAGCGUUGCUCGGAAUCACUGGGCGUAAAGCGCACGUAGGCGGACUCUUAAGUCAGGGGUGAAAUCCUGGAGCUCAACUCCAGAACUGCCUUUGAUACUGGGAGUCUUGAGUUCGGGAGAGGUGAGUGGAACUGCGAGUGUAGAGGUGAAAAUUUCGUAGAUAUUCGCAAGAACACCAGUGGCGAAGGCGGCUCACUGGC